GGCAACUGUACAAAAAAACAUACCAGAGUAUUAAAAACUCAAGUGUGUGAGUGGGUUUCUGCCCGUGUGCGAAGUGGCCUUUUUUGGUGACUUUUCUCUACUGGUGUCGUUUUCAUCUCCUGACUGUUCCUUUUACAGGACAGUGCUUUCUCAAGUGCCUGAAUUUCCAUUCUCACCCAUCUCAGAGAUAAUCAAGUGUACCUCUGAGGAUCUUUGGCUCUCCAGCUGGUGGUACUAACCCAACAAGGGCUUGCUGCCUGUGCUGGCUGUUGCACUGGCUAUAGAGAAACCUGGUUCUUGACCAUGUGUCAGCUUGGCAGGAGGCUUGUUGGUGUUGGGAGUGUAUCAAAUGUUUGCAGGGAGAUUGUGUUGAUGCUAGAAAGAAGCUGUGGUGUCAUGAAUCGAGCUGUCUUGGGCACUCAGCUGAGAUUUUAUCAGCUCCAUAGCUGUGCUAUCAGCGCUAGAUAUGGUGGGCUUUUCCUAAAUGUGAUUUUCUUUUAAAAGAUGUGCUUGCUAAAACUGAAGGAAAUUAAAUUUAAACAUGCUUUCAGAUUAUAUUGAGUCAAGAAACUAAGUGGAUAAAAGCAAGGAAGUCCUAGCUAGUAGUGUUGCUGGUCUUUACCCAUCCAUCACGGUGGGCUGCCUGAGGCCUGCAGGAUCGGAUUGCCUGCUCCCUGGUGUCCAGGCCUCCAUUAUUUUCCUUGCAAACUCUCUGAGGGGCCUGUGAGCAGCUCCCCAGCUGGGAAUCCUGUCCUUACACUCUUGAGGGCUGAGGGCUCUGGACUGAGGACACCAUUGAAGCUUUGCAGUGAUAAUGGCCAGUGUUGUCAGGAUGAUCUUUAUGUUGAAUACAGAAUUUAGAAUUGUCUUGACUUCUUUUUGUUUUUAAGAAUGAUUAGAAAUUAUUGUUCAGAAUUUGCUUUCCUUGUCUUAUUGUAAACAAUGUGCACACAAUUUACACUCACACACAUAUUAUGUAUGUCUUUAAAUUCCUGUCAGAACUGCAGGAAGGCUCAAGCCAGUGCAUGAAGCAUCAACAUUUGAUGACAGGACAGAAAAUGCUAGCUUUGCUUCUUUAUGUCUUUUUGAUUUUGAGACUGACUUGAGAACUCUAAAGAUGUCUGUUUAAUGUAGUGACAUUCAGAUUGUUUUCUUUAGCAUUUUUGAGCCUGAUUCUCAAUAGUGCUAUACAGUGCCGCUGCCCUGGGCAGGCUGUGCUCAUGUGUGGUCACAGAAUGACUCAAAGACCCCCUGCAGUGUUUUGUACUUUGAGCCUCAGGUAUGGUCAGAGGAAGACCUUUUUCAGUAUCAUUUGAGUCUAGAUAGUGAGAAUAUAUUUCCUAAAUUAAUUAUCUCAGAAAAUAUUCAUUUUAUAAAACUAUCAUUAUAAUUAAAACAUACAAAUCAUGGAGCUUUAAAAACAAUUAAUGAAAUUAGGAAAGACUAUAUGUUUCUAUCUUUCUCAGAGAUGGAAGCUGGUAAUAGAAAUGUUUUUUAAAUUGGUCAUUUUCCUGUACUUGAUGUCCACAUGAACAUACAAAUGCUGUGCUGCAGGUCAGGAAGGACAGCCAGUACCUACCCCAAGUCACAGCUCUUCUCCUUGAGUAGCUUCAUGUGGUCUCUGAAACUGCUCAAAACAGUUUUGUGAUUGACUCUGAAGGAGAAUAGUCAUGGUGAAUUGCUCUUACCUUAGCUGUUGCAGUGUCAACUACAGGCAAAUUCUUGCAGUUUCCCUCAGACCCUUCCUAUUUCUCUCAGAGCAGGUGUGAAUCAGAGGAGUUUGUGGUGGGAUGGAAGGAGGAUUUUAUGGUGGUUCCAGAUGAGGGACAGGAUGCAGUAAAAGAUGAUAAUGAAAAAAAUCAUUGCUGUGAUUAAAAUCAUCAUUUGUUCAACCUGUAACCACAUAGUGUCAGAAAAAAUCAUCUGUUCUAAGCAAACGUGUAAUGAUUAUUAUUUAUCCAACCAUAACAAGUGAGACACUGUUGAUUGCUGAACUAAAUAUAAUUGGGGAAAGGCUAGUAGUCUUCAUCAGCUUUAUCAGUGCUCAUGUGUGCUCCUGUUCUCUUCUGCUUUAUAAAGAAAACUUCUACACUUUUCUGUAUCUAUAUAUAGGUGUUUUCCUUCCUGUAGACACAGUUCAGUAAGAACUUGGACACUUGGACAGUGAACGGUUACAUUCAUUUCAUUGUUCGUAUCGUAUUAGAACAGCAUAAAAAAGGAGUACACCUGUGGAAUCUCACUGUGUAUGCUAUACUCUCCUUUACAGUUUAUGAUAUCUGAGGGAAUUUUAGACUCAUGAUUGAUUGGUGAUGAAUGCAUCUAUAGAUUGUGUCUGGGAGGAUCAUUUCUGUACAGUAGCUCCACCAUGGGAAGACACCUUUGUAAACACAGAGAAGAUCGUAGAGUCGUAGAAUAGCUUGGAUAGGAAGGGACCUUAAAGAUCAUCUAGUUCCAACCCCCCUGCUGUGGGCAUGGUUGCCACUCACUAAAUCAAAUGCUACAUCAGGUUGCCCAGGGCCCCAUUCAACCUGGACUUGAACAUCUCCAGGGAUGGGACAUAAGUGAAGUGAACAUCUUUUUGGACAAUGCAAAUUUUAUGCAUUUGUAUUACAAUUUUCAUGUGCUGUUAUUUUUAUUUCCUAAACAUUUCCCAAAUUUCUGCCCCUGAGUCUAGGACAUUAUUGAGCUGUUCUUUCUGUCACCAGUGUGUUGGUAGACUUUCUGAGAUCAUUCUCAACAAUCAGUGGUUUUGAAAGGCUCUCACUGUUGUAGAAAUUUUAAAGCAAUUGUGAUGAAACAAAAUUGGUUUUACUGCUUGAAAAGUGAUCUGGAACAACUGGUUUGUAAUAACGAUCUGUAAAUUCUUCCUCUAAACCUUCACUGAUUUAUUUAAAUUUAAAUCUUAUGAAGAAUGAUAUUGAAGUACCACAAAUAUUGCUUGAUUUUUCCUUCUGUUCUUCGUAAUAUGAAGAUAUGCAAUAAAAGUUAAUGUUCAGUAUAAGCGGAACUAAUUUUUGUUAUAAACGAAUUAUACAAUGAAAUAAAGUAUUUCUUAUCAAACUGA